rnacentral:rRNA from 1 species
UACGUAGGGGGCGAGCGUUGUCCGGAAUCAUUGGGCGUAAAGCGCACGUAGGCGGCCCGGUAAGUCCGUUGUGAAAGUCAGAGGCUCAACCUCUGGAGGCCAAUGGAUACUGCCGGGCUAGAGUCCGGAAGAGGCGAGUGGAAUUCCCGGUGUAGCGGUGAAAUGCGCAGAUAUCGGGAGGAACACCUAUGGCGAAGGCAGCUCGCUGGGACGUUACUGACGCUGAAACACGAAAGCGUGGGUAGCAAACAGG